GGUGGGGUGGCAGAGCGGUUGAACGCGCCGGACUUGAAAUCCGGUUUGCCCGUCAGGGCAACAGGGGUUCGAAUCCCCUCCCCACCG
rnacentral:tRNA from 2 species